UGGCACCACUCUCGACCAUAUUUGAACCGUUGAGCGAGAGAUAUGUUAUUGAACCAAGAAACUUUCUGUUACACUGACUGGUAUUAUUUCAAAGGAUCAAACGUCUACUUUUAACUGAGAUGCUGAAGCUACUGGCCCUGCCUGUAUAAAUAUAUGACACUGCUAGUCAUUUAGUUAAGUACAUUGGAAAAAACAUGUCGACGAUGAUAAAAGUCGGGCCACCAUUUCACCCUGCGGGAUCUACAUGGGAUAACAAAGGAAAAACAGAUAUAGCACAAAUCUUCGUUUCUUGCUCCCGCUAUCGGAUUAAUUUCAUGUACUUUGUUUAUGCUGAAGAUGGAGGAAACAGGCUCGUGUUGUCUAAAUUUGGUGAGGAUAAAACCAGUCAUUCCAUGGAAACGGUCACUUUUGAUUAUCCAUCAGAGUACAUAACCAGAGUACGUGGUCAGUACACCGACGCAGUUUCACCGUAUGAUAGAUAUUUAUGGUCGAUAACUUUUUAUACCAACAAAGGCACCUACGGACCAUACGUUCCGACUGAAUCUAUUAACGAUGGUAAGUUCGUCGACUUCAAUUAUCAGGUGGGGGGUAAAUUAUGUGGAUUUUUUGGAUCAUACCUUGGAAAUGGGAUCGAAACCAUCGGAUUUUAUGUCGAGCCUCAGGAGAAGCUAGCUAAACAACCAGGGAAAUUGGUUUCUGUAGACGAAAUUGAGGAGCCUCCUACUAUCUACUAAAAACCAUGGGGAGAUGGUCUCAUAGUCCCAAAUGCCAUGAUUUCCUCGACCUAGCAGCUAUGUUGAAUCAGAGACUGGCUUUUCAGAAGUUGUGUACUGUGUAAUUUUAAGCGUUGUCAUUGUCCAAUAAUGGUGUUUGAUGUGUGAGAAUUGUUUGUUUUGUAUUUUGGUAAAUUUUUUUUGUUUUGUUUCAGUUAUCUAAAUUUGUUUAUGAGGUCCUAAAGGCGAGGUCAUAUCUGAAAUAGGUACAUUCUCGGUUCCCUGCAUCCUCAAUAAUAAGUUGUAGCGUCGAGACUCAUUUAAAUCAUAACAAAAAAGUUGGUUAGUAAGAUCAAUGACUGCUCUGACCUGAAGAUAAACCACAGAGAUUCUAAAGAUGAGCUGCUCUGUGGCCACUUGUCUACUAUACUUAAAGAAAAAAUUAGCUAUUCAAAGAGAAAUAUGUCAUCGUUUCACAAGUCGUUGGUUGGGGUUAUGUUAAAGAACUAAAAGUGAUGCUGAAGCAACUGCCUAUAUAAAUUUCUGACACUGUUGAUCAUAUGAUUUGUGUGCAUUGAGCAAACACACUUAGAAAAUCCAAGUUGGGCCACCAUUUCCCCCCAAGGGUUCCCUGGGAUCAUAAAGGAAAAACAGAAAUAGCACAGAUCUUCAUUUUUUGCUCCCGAGAUCAGAUCAAUUUCAUGUACGUUGUUUAUGUUGAAGAUGGAUGAACCAAGCGAGUUUUGUCUGAUAAAUUUGGCGAGGAUGAAACCUGUCAGUCCAUGGAAACGGUCACGUUUUGAUCAUCCAUCAGAGGACAUGACUAGAAUAAAUGUGCCAAGUACUCGCAGAAAAGAGAGAGAAAGAAGAUACAAAAAGUCUGCCACCACUUAUCUACAUUAUUAUUUCAAGGGUUAAGAAGGAUCUCAAGGCACUCGUUGCCAUAGCUCUUCUGCUGUUUUUGUAUAUUCCUUGCAGAAUUUGUUGCAGCAUCACUACACCUUAUUAAUUCAAUCCAUUCGAACGUGCAUAUAUUAUGAAAGUCUUCAGGAAUCUCCCUCAGAUAUGGGCAUCGGAACACCUGCAAGCACAGAAGAAGUGGAAAGUGAUUACGAGAAGCUGUCCAAUUCACAAUAUCUAGUUCAUUAAAUUUGAGAAAUUUGAGCUGAGGGAACGCUUCCGGACUUGUUUCCUGGACUUUACCAACAAAGGCAUGAAUUUUUAACUUGAGAACUUCCAGGUUAGGUAUCAUAACAAAAAUCCAAGCUUCCUUCCAAUCCAAAAAUGUAUUUGAGAAAGUAAGACUGCUUAGACUUUCGGGGAAUAUGAUUGCAUCACUUAGUUUUGCAGCUUUGCUCAAAGAAAUUGUAUUAAACUUCAAUGAUUCGUAGGAAUGGCAAAAUAAUCCGAUCCGACGGAUACCCGAUCCGAAACCCGAAUUUUUGGAUAUACCGAACCCGAAUUUUUGGAUUUGGAUUUGGAUAUGGAUUUGAUUUUUGUACCCGAAAUUUUUUGGAUUUGGAUAUGGAUAUGACCUCUACCGAUCCGAACCCCGAUCCGAAACCCGAAAUCCUAUCCGAACCCGAUCCGAACCCGAAACCCGAAAAAAACCCGAAUAUUAUAUAUAUAUUAUAAAUAAUUUAAUAUGAAUGUGUGUGUGUGUGUCUAUAUAUAUAACAUAUUUAUAUUUAAUUAUUUGGAUGAAUGUAAUAUAAUACUCUCAAUAUCAAUAGACUAGGUUAAAGGAAUAAGGAUUUCUAUUUAAGACAAAUACUUCAUUAAUAAUAUAUUGUAUAAAAUAUAUUGUAUAUUGGUAAUAAUGAAAAUUAAUAUGGUUUAAGUUUAUAUUAUUCUAAUUUAAACCAAUAAAAUCCAAUCCAAUAAUCUUAAUUUUGAAAAAAAAAUACUUAAUUAUCAUAGUUCAGACAGGUUUAUAAUUUUUAAUUUUUUUUUUAAGAUAUCCGGUUGAAACCCGAAUCCGAUCCGAAACCCGAAAAAACCCGACGGAUUGGAUUUGGAUUUUACAUUUUAAUAUCCAAACCCGAACCCGAUCCGAUCCGAAAUAUAACGGAUUGGAUAUGGAUUUCAUGAAACCCGACCCGAUCCGACCCGAUUGCCAUCCCUAAUGAUUCGAGAUGCAUUAGUUGGCCAAGAUCAGGACAUUUUAACUCUCCUCUCUUUGUUGUCAAUGGUCCAUAAAGACCUAGUUAUAAGAUCCAUCAAGUAAUCCUCUGCAAUAUCCUCUAGAAACAUUUUUGUGCCCUCCUGGUUUAUGUAUUCCUCUGCAAUCCACAACCAAAUCAAUUUAGGUACUGAAAUUUCGUGACCUUAAGGGAAUGCUCCAAAGCAGAGAAAACAAGGUCUCAAGUGUUGAGGCAGAUGGUCGUAGCGUAAUGCUAGUGUAUCCAUGUAUUGAUUUUUCAUCAUUUGCAAUGUACAAAGAAGUUACAUUCUUAUCAUUCUGUGCCAACCAAUCACAAUAAGUUAUCUAUGUUCCUUUAAAACAAGUCAUAGGAUAACAUAUUAGCAUCCAUGUCAUAAACUUCAUCAGUCAUCUUGAUGACAGAACUUAAAAUACCAAGCAAUAAAUCCCUUUCAUGAUAAACCUGGAAACAAGGCACCCAUGCUCGAACAUAAAAGUAUGACUUUACAUACGGAUCAUUAUAGAGUCUUCUAUCUAAAGUAGUCUUCCUAGUCCAGCCCUCCUUACAACCGCGAGCACUUCAAGCUCCAUCUUUGUGAUAGAUGCAAGUUUGUGCAGUAAAUUUAUUGCCUCCACUUCAAAUCCAACAAAAUUUUCCCCUUCUUGGUAUAUUUGUUUUCAUCAAAAUAAAAUUGUGAAGCGAAGUCUUGGGAAGACCAAUCUUUUUCUGUCUUACUUAAGCUAUAUUGGCCUUGUAAAACACGGACACUUUAGACGCUAGUAGCUCAUCAACAAGGAUGAGAUCUGAAGUAUCAAAGCUUCUAUUCGACUUAGAAAUAAGUACUUUAUCUUAGUAACAAGCUGGUUUAGUUGAAAGCUAACCGACUCAAAUUGAUAGUCCUCAUCAGUGUGUGUAAAGCUAUGGAAUUUUUCAGACAAGGAGCUGAGCUGCUGAGAAUAAAAUGAAUUUUGAAAUCUUUUUAAAGAAGCCAAUCAGGAUCUUCAAACAGCAGCCUAUACAUUUUUGUUAGAAAAAUUAGUUAUAGUUUAUUGCAUCUCCAUUUGUUCAUUGUGUUGGUCGGUGAGUUUGUGUUGACAAUUAUACUUUUUGUUUCUUCCUUUAUGGACAUUAUAACAUUCAAAACACAUAACUCAUCACAUGUCAGUCCAAAAGUGGUAGCUGCAGUUUGGUAAAGAUUAGUGUCGUGUUUGGUUGGGGAGAAUGGAAUGGAAUGGAAUGAAAUGAGUAAAAAAUACUUGAAACUAAUAGAAAUAGGAAGAAAGUUUUGAAAAAAUUUGAAGGAGUGCAAAAUUGCUAUGAUGAGAUUUGAGAAGAAAUUGAGGAUGAGAGAGAAUGGAGCAUUCCAUCUCAAAUGUAAAGGGUGAUAUCUAGCAUAUGAUGUAGGGAAUGGAAUGGAGGAAGGAAUGAAAUUUCUUAAAAAUCACCCAUAAGAUAGUUCAUUUUUCAUUUCAUUCCUUCCGGAAUCAUUCACCCCAACCAAACACAACAUAGUUGUUUAUUUGUGGCUUGUAAAGGCUCAAAUAUGACAAAUAAUCUUUAUCUAACCGAUUUAAAAUGUUAUAGAGAUUGUGUGAGCAGACGCAAUUGUCUUUAGUCACAAUAUCCAAAAAAUCAUCUAUGUUCCAUUACUUCUAUACAAAGGCACUUACGGACCGGACUUCACUUGUGUGAUCCCAGUCAAGGUGCUGAGGUGGUAGACUUCGAUUAUCAGAUGGCAAGUUUCGCGGAUUUUUUGGAUCGUACGACAAAGAUAGUAUUUAAGCAAUUGGAUUUCAUAUUGAUCCUCCCUGGAAGCUAGCUAAUCAAGCAGAUGAAAUAGCUUUGAUAGGAUCGGAUCCCCUUCUAUAAAGGUAUAGCGACAAAAAAUUGGUGUACUGGAUUGAAAAUAAGAAGUUAGGAAUUACUUCCAAGCUAAGCAAUAGAGAUUCUAAACCAGAUGACUAGCUUUUCUUGUGAAUUUCUUUACGGAUACUUUGUUAAAAUAAAUAUAUGAUUCGUUUAAAUCUUCCUCGAAACAUAAAUAUCAUGCCCGUCUAAAUAAUUGUCUUUCACCAUCUGAUUGCCCAUUUUAGCAAACCUGAUUUUCAUGUUUUUCUGUCAAAUCAAGAAAAAAGCGAGAAAUAGAUAUAGAUAAUAAUAAUAAUAAUAAUUUGAUAAUUGAACACAAUCACACAUUUGUCUUAAUUAGACCAGAUGUCGUUUGGGUGAGCAUAAAAUAAGUGUUUCUUGCUUAAAGUAAAAAAAAGUGAAGUAGAAGCUAGAAGUUAGUUAAGACUUAUAAGUGAUGAAAGUGUUAGGAAAAAAAGUAGAAGUCAUGAAACAAAAGUUAGGAUUCUUAGCUUUUUAUAAGUGCUUCUCGACUUUUUAUCCAAACGGUACGAAUAAGUGCUUCGAACUUAUAACUCCAGAAGUGGAGCUUAAAAACUCCACCCAAACACUUCUCAAAGAGAGCAACAAUUAAAGAUACUAAUGAACGAACCGAGAGAGUUGGUUAAUUAAAAAGUAUAAUUUCAAAGAAUCAAAAAUGUAUUUGAAGUGCAGAUGCUAAAGCUACUUACUCCUGCCUGUAUAAAUAUAUGACACUGCUAGUCAUUUAGUUACCUGCAAUAAGAAAUCAUAUUGGCAAUGAUAAGAAUUGGGCCAGCAUAUCCCGGCAGGGGAAUUCCCUGGGAUCAUAAAGGAAAAACAGAAGUAGCUCAAAUCCUCAUUUCAUGCAACCGAAAUCGAAUCAAUUUCAUGUACUUUGUUUACGUCGAAGAUGGAGGAACCAAGUUAGUGUUGUCUGAAAAAAUCGGUAGGGAGGAAACCAGUCAUUCCAUGGAAACGGUGAAUUUUGAUUAUCCGUCAGAGUACAUUACGAGAGUGAGUGGUCAAUACAACGACUAUCUAGGAAAGUAUUUACGUUUCAUACUAACAAAGGCGUCUAUGGACCAUUCGCACCUGGUGCUCCAGGUGCUCCUACUAAAGGUCUUGUGUCGAUCGACUUCAAUUAUCAGGUGGCAGGUAAAUUUGGUGGAUUUUUUGGAUCCUACGAAACGGAUAGUAUUGAAACAAUCGGAUUUUACAUUGAUCCUCUCCAGAAACUAGCUAAUCAACCAGGGGAAAUAGCUGUGGGGGGAUCGGAUGGACUUGAAGCCUCUGGCGAAACUAGCUAAUCAACCAUGACAGAUGGUCUCAUGCUCCCUGUUGCCAUGCUUUUAUGCACCAGCAGUUCUGUUGAAUCAGGAGUUUGGCUUUCCACAAGUUAUCUACUGUUUCAUCUUUUUCAAAUUUACCAUGCAUUGUGACUGUGGUCAAUGUAUUGGAUUUUCUAAUUGGGAUUUUGUUCUGUUUUGUUUUAUCUACUAAAUAAAUAAAUUUAUCUGCUCCCUUUGUCCUCCAAA